CCAGACUCAGUCUGACUGCUCUUUAUCUGAUCAGCUGUCAUACCAGAAACAAAGUGUACAACUACAGAUGAGUUAAAAGGACCCUUUCUGUUGCAGCAGCAUGUUAAGCUGAGUAAGAACUGAUGCCUCUCCCAUUGGGGUCUGUCUCUCUUAUCCAGCCAGAAGGAUCACUUUUAAGUUUCAUGAGUGAAGGAGCGAAACAAGUUUGCAGCAGUUCUGGGGACACAGCAUCUUGGGAAAAGCAGGGUUAUGAGAAACUAUUGGCAGGCUGAAAUUGUUCAAACACAGCUGUCUUUGCUAGAGUUCUGAAAGGGAUGUUACACCUGUGAAUUGUAAAAUUUGCUGCUGAUGUUGCUAUCAAGACACCUGCUCAGGCAUACAAAUAAUUGUGAAUAAAUCAACCCUGGGAAUUCAA